rnacentral:lncRNA from 1 species
ACGAAAUUUGUGAGAAGAAAGUGGUGGCGAAGGUGAUGGACAGUGAGUGGAAUCGAGGAUCACUUGGUGCGGCCGUGGGUGAGGAGUUGACUAAAGGACUUGUUGCGGCUAUGGGCAGUGGGUUUGUGCUGGACUGGCGGAUCGCAACGGAGUGCGGCAAGUGCGAGGCAUCAGACGGUCGUUGUGGUUACAACAAUUUAACCGAUGAGUCCUUGUGCUAUUGCAAAGAUGGAACCGUAACGUUUGAUCAUUGCAACGGUACGUUUUCUUUCCAAUGUUUAACUCAUAUACAUUGAUAGUUUUGACAGUGAAAUUUAGUCUAUUGCAGCAAAUUGCGUGUCAUAUGUUUCAGAUAACUAGUUCCGUUUAUUGUGGGAAUCACCUGUUAGAUGAUCCCUAGAAAUUCCUUUGUCUGUGUGUUAAUCCCAUACUAUUUUUGGUAAUUAGACAACUUUAUUCCAAGAAAAAUAUAUGUACAAACGAAUCAGAAAACCCCUAAUUAGCUGAACAAACCUCAGAUUUAAAACCCAACAGACUCAAGAAAACACCAAGACCUACGUAUAUCCGUAAUUACACUAUUUCUAUGGAUAAAAAUUCAGUUUACUCAACUGUCCCUCUAGUCUCUUGCACCAGUAGCCCCUAUGAUGAGCCUUUGGUUUAUUAUGAGUACUUUGGUAUUUAUCUUGCAUACUCUGUGAAUAUUGUGAUCAAUUUGUGUAGCUGUUGAUCUUUCUAUAUCAAGGUUAGACUUUUGGUCGGUGUGUGAUUGAAUGGUAGAGGUAACGUGAAGACUUUUUCCUCUCAUUUCCUUGUCUAGCUUAGGUGUUUAGUGGGACAGACAUUAACGUCAAUGGUAUUAGCUAUAGGGUCAUUGACUAGCUGGCUUUAGAAUUUUGACUUUGGCACAAAAUAUCAUAGCCCUAUCACCAUCUCAACAUUAGCAACAAAGACUAUUCCUCAUAUUCUUUUUUGAUUACUUCCUCAUCAUGUCGUGGCAAAAAUAUGAAUGGCGCUCAUAAUUGCUCCUAUAGUCAUAUGAUAAGUCGACGUAAAUAUGUUUUAGCUCUUUCUUUUGUUCUAUAAUGUAUAGUUUGUACUUGUUAGUCGUCUAGCUCUUCAUAGGUCCACCACAAAGAAAAUGCCUGAAAAUAAGUAAAAAAACAUAAGAUUAAAAUUCCGUAGGAUGCCCAAUAACUAAAAGAGCAUUCUCCACUUCUAUUCCGCACCAAAAACUAUUUACGUUCGAUAGUCGAAAUAUAUUAAAUUUAUAUAAUUUUUUUAAAUGCCAUAUAUAUAUAUAUAUAUAUAUAUAUAUAUAUAUAUUGCACACACAAAAAAAAUAUAUAAAUUUUUUUUCUCUAUUUGAGAGNNNNNNNNNNNNNNNNNNNNNNNNNNNNNNNNNNNNNNNNNNNNNNNNNNNNNNNNNNNNNNNNNNNNNNNNNNNNNNNNNNNNNNNNNNNNNNNNNNNNNNNNNNNNNNNNNNNNNNNNNNNNNNNNNNNNNNNNNNNNNNNNNNNNNNNNNNNNNNNNNNNNNNNNNNNNNNNNNNNNNNNNNNNNNNNNNNNNNNNNNNNNNNNNNNNNNNNNNNNNNNNNNNNNNNNNNNNNNNNNNNNNNNNNNNNNNNNGGGGGGGGGGGAUGGAAAUCAAAGAUAGCCAGAUUUAUUACUAGUAAUUGAAAAAUAGUUACAUUUUCAAAAGUAAUUAAUAUUAACCACUUUUUCAUGUAAAGAUAAAAUCUGAACAAAAAUACCGUUAAAAUCUGAAAAUAUUCCAGUAUAAUAUACUGGAGUUCAAUUUUUUUUUACAUAUGAGCUUCCAACAUAAUGUAAUGGAAUUUCAUAUUGUACUGGAGUUCCAACAUAAUAUGCGGAAAGUUUAUAUGCAGGAGAUCCAUUAUCCUGCAUAUUAUGUUGGAACAUUCUGUGUGCUGGAGUUCCAACAUAAUAUACUGGAAGUCUAUACGCAGGAGCGCUGUAAUCUCGCAUAUUAUACUGAAUUUUUUUGUGUUUCAUCAUAACAAUGGCUAUUUUUUAUUAGGGGGAUUUGCAUCUAUACUUGCUUUUUGUGUCACGUUUUAACUUGUGCCCUCUUUACAAAAAUAAUUACAAGCGUACUCGUUUUUUUGCAUAACUUCAGCAUACGGGGUUGAAGUAGCAAAGGCAAUCACGCAAAACUUCAGCAUUCUAGUAGACGGGCCUGAAGUAGAAAGUAUGCUGAAGUUUUUGUUUGUAAUUGCUGAAUUUAAACAUAGUAGCUGAAGUUUUGUUCUCUAUUUCCAUUGCUGAAGUUUUUAUUUGUAACUGGCGAACUUCAGCUUUAGAGCUGAAAUUUUUUUUUGUAACUUGCAAACUUCAACUCUAAAGCUAAAAUUUUUAUUUUUGUAACUUGGCGAAUUUCAGUUCUAGAGCUGAAGUUUUUGUUUUAUAACUGGCGAACUUCAGCUUUAGAGCUGAAGUUUUGUUUUUAAGUUUUUGUUUUUUAAUUGGCAAACUUCAGCUCUAGAGCUAAAGUUUUUAUUUUUGUACUGGCAAACUUCAGCUCUAGAGCUGAAGUUUUUGUUUAUAACUGACGAACUUCAGCUGAAGUUUUUGUUUUGUAACUAUCGAACUUCAGUUCUAGAGCUGAAAUUAUUUAUUUCAUUUGUAAAAACUUCAGCACUAUAUAAGCAAUAGAUAUUUUUAUUUCUUAUUGCAUACAACUAUACAAGUAACUUGAUGUUUCCUUAUCAUGGGCAAGAUGCUAAAUUUGUGGUGAAUUGCUUUCACUUCAUCCCAAAGUUAAAGGUAAAAAAAGACAUGGUGCCAAACAAUGACCACUUGCAGAUCCAUGCGUAUUUCUUGACUGGAAUGUAGUAGUAUGGGAAAAUUUUCAUCUUAUCGUUGAACUAGAUAUGUCUACACAAAAUUUUAAUAAAUGAAGUUCCAUAGCAGCACCAACAGCAGCAGAAGAAAGAAUAAUAAUAAUAAUAAUAAUAAUAAUAAUAAUAAUAAUAAGAAGAAGAAGAAGAAGAAGAANNNNNNNNNNNNNNNNNNNNNNNNNNNNNNNNNNNNNNNNNNNNNNNNNNNNNNNNNNNNNNNNNNNNNNNNNNNNNNNNNNNNNNNNNNNNNNNNNNNNNNNNNNNNNNNNNNNNNNNNNNNNNNNNNNNNNNNNNNNNNNNNNNNNNNNNNNNNNNNNNNNNNNNNNNNNNNAGAAGACGAAGAAGAAGAAGAAGAAGAAGAAGAAGAAGAAGAAGAAGAAGAAGAAGAAGAAGAAGAAGAAGAAAAAGAAGAAGAAAACGAAGGAUGAGAAGGAGGAGGAGAAAGGGGGUUGCAGUUAUUUAAAAUUGGGUACAAGUUAAAAGUUUUUUAAAAAUGGGUAUAGGUUAAAUGGGGGCGACCAAAUAGGGCGUCCUGUGCAAUUUUUACUUUUUAUUACUAGUCCAAUAACUGACUAACUCGUACUAUUUUCACUAUUUUCCCAAGCCAAUGUCAAUGCAGGCCUUAAUAAGAUCUAAUAGCCCAUUAGACCUGUUUAAGUUGGAAUCCUAUGGAAAAGGAAAAUUUUCCUAUGCUUAAAGAGGUUUCAUAACCAGGCCUAAGCGCGCAAAGAAGGAAAGGCCACACACUUCGGCCUAACGGGAAUGAGCAAUGACAAAAUGGGAAGUUGAGGUGCCUUAGAGUCCAUUGCUAUCUCGUCCCAUUUCCACUAUGGUAUUUGAACUGAUUGUAAGUGUCUUACUGGUCUCUGGUGCUCAACAUUCACUUUUGACUUGCCAAAAAAGUUAACUGAUGGAACUGAUAUAAGCGUAGCUCUCUCUUUCAAAUACAAAUGAAGAUAGGUUAUUUGAAUUCGCGUUCUUCUGAUUUCCUCUUGUGUGCUUUUUGGCGAGAAACUCCCAUUUUCUUCUCUUUUCUUACUCUUUCAAGGAUGGUUCAGGGGGAGACAGUUUCGCAAAAAGCCAACCCAAAUAAUAAGGUAAGAGUUGGAGACCGCCCAACAUAAGCCUAUCUAAGCGAUGCGAUGCCUAUUUCAAUGCCAUAAACUAGAUAGCAUUUUCCUGGUAAUAAGAAGGGUGAAAUGGGGAAGCACAGAUAUAAUCAUUUUUGAGCUAUUAUUGAACUUAUACUUGCGUUACACAAUUUUUUUCUUAAUUUACCUACUUUGGAACACAUUUCAUAUGUCGCGUCUGAAGUUCCAAAAUUUUGCGUCCGAAGUAAGAAAUUUGGGUAGUUUCGCUUUUGAAUUUUUCCUCGUGACAGCGCAAACUUAAGACACAAAGUUACAAAUUUCAAUUUAUGUUCGCAUAUAAGUUUUUUCCUCGAUGGCGAGGGAGAAUGAUGAUGAUGAUGAGGAGCCACUUGUCUGAAGUUAUCUUACUUUGAACAUCAAUUAAUUUUUGGGUAUAUAGGGGCAACAAAAUUGGAUGUCCUGUGAAGUUUUUAUAAGGAAAAAAGAGUUCAAGAACUUUCAUCGGAUGUCCUCUUAUCGGUUUAACAAAUAUAAAUAUCCGCAAAAGUUGUGCUCCUCCUACUCCUCUUUUUCCCCGUCAUUCUUCUUUCUUCUUUGUCUUCUUCAUAUAUAUUGUGAAAACAUGAAGACUCAUUGCUUAUUUGUUGUCAAUUUGGUGAAGAAACUUAAAUGUUAUUACUCCAUUUGUUUCAAAUUUAGAUGAGGUAUUUUGACUCGAAACAGAGUUUAAGAGAAAAGAGGGAGACUUUUGAAACUUGUGGUCUUAAAAGCUUAAGGAGGAAAAGCUUUAUGGGGCCAUGAUAUUUGUGCUAUAAAGGCUUCUUAUUAAGGGUAAAAUGGGUGAAAUUAAAAGUUUAAAGUUAAAUUAUUUUCAAUUAUAAAAAUGUGUCAUUCCUUUUAAAUAGACUAAUAAGUAAAGUGCGACAUCUAAGUUAAACUGGGGGAGUAUUAGAUUUUUUGUGAAGAAGAAAGAGUAUACAUUGAAUCUAGGGUUGUCAAAUGUGGCCAAAGCCCAAAUGACCCAUCCAAAGUUGGGUUGGUUAUUGACAUGCCUAUUUAUUGAACUCAACUCAUCUUAACCCAAUCUAUCUCAACUCAUUUAAAGUUUGGCUGAUUUUUUGCUCAAAUUGAUCCAUGAGUAACUUUGCCAAUAUCAUAGAAGUAAUUUUCUUUUUUUAUAUGUUAUAUAUGAUCAUCACAAAAGAAAAAAAAAAUCUUAUUUAGUAAUUAUACAAUUUAUAGGAAAACAACAUAUACUAAUUAAAGAUUGAUAAGAGUAGGGCGGUUGGGCUAUGACCUAAAAUUUAGCUCAUCUUGACCCAAUCUAUCUUAAUUAAAAUAUUUUUUUGAUCCUAAUUAUUAACUCAACCCAUUUUAAUCUAUUCAAAAUCAGUAAAAACCCCCAUUUGACUCCCUAGUUGAAUCCAACCAUGGGAAUUGUUAUGAUUAGUAAUAGAAUAUCCCAUAUCAAAUUUGGAAUCAAUUAUAAUUGAUGUGGACCAAUUGGAUGAAUUUUGAAGUUGCUGGUGAAAUUUCUUAGAAACUUCUUCUUCUUCUUAAAAACUACUACUACUUCUUCUUCUUGUUAAGAAACUUCUUCUUCUGAAAUUCAGUCAAAACAAAGUUUAAUUUUCACAAAAAAUCCUCAAAAUUGAGAUAUAAACUCCAAACUAUAUUCUCGAUUAUUUUCACCAACACCCAAUCAAACAAAUAAUGAUUUUUGAAAACCCAAAUUUGAAUUCAAAGCUUUCAAGCUUUUUAGUGACUGUCAAUGGUAGAGUUGCUGCUCUCUUUUCAUUUGCUUUAUAUUACUGAAAUUAACGAUUGAGAAAUAGAAAGAAAAUUUCUUAUAUUAAUGAUAUGGUAAAUUACUAAUGAUUUAGUAGAUAAAUGAAAACGGUCACUAAUAUUAGCCAACAAUUUGUUUCAAAAUUUACAUGACGAAGUGGAUUUGUAAUAUUAGGAGAAAGUAUAAUAGAAGAUGAAGUUUCAACUACUAAAGAUUAUAAAUUUAUUGCAAACGGGUAAAAGAACUAAUUAUUAGCCAACUGAUUUAGCUAAAAGAAAUGUCCUAGUUAAUAUUUUGCAUUAUAAUUAGUAUUUGAUGAAUGAUAUAAUAAUCGUAGAAAAACUUUAAACAUAAUAGAUAAAUAUAAAACUACACACAAUUUUAAUAAUAAAAUUUUAUAUAUGGUAUAAGAAGAAAAAAAUCUCAAAUUUAUUUUAAAGUUAUAAUACAAUUUAUACCAAACUCUUGAUGAAUUGUCAGGCCUUGUGGCAAGUCCAUCUAUUAUAAAUCCUGCUGAUUCACUUUGACAUUUUGAACAUAAGUUUCACUGCUAAAAUUUAAAUCGAUCGACGGCGACCGGCUUCGAUCUGUCAAAAAACCAGCCGUCGAUUGUUUAAAAUAUUUAAUUUUUAUUUUAUUUUAUGAAAUCGAUCAACUUCAACCGGUUUCUUUGGUGCAAAAUGUCAAAAAUUAUAUUUUACGUCCUGCAAAAUUCAAUUUUGAUCAAUUUUUUUAGUAAAAAUAAAUUAAAAUUAAUAUUAAAAACCCGACCAAAAUCGGUCAAUUAUUUCGGUCGGUCAAAAUACAAUCGAUUUCGAUCGAUAAUUUUAUUUUUUAAUAAAACUUAAUUGUUUGUAAAAUUUAAUUGACGGAUCAAAAUCAGUCAGAAAAUACUCACCGAAAUAGCUGAUUUCGCGUUACAUGUCACCAUCGAUAUUUCCUUUAGAUAGUUAGUCCUUAAAGGGAAUGUGAACAUGGUGACUAAACAGAAGUUAGAGUACUCUUUUUUCCUCUUCAUUUCUUCACUUUCGGUUCAACCAACUCAAUUUAGAAACCUAUGGUCCUGCACUCAAUCUAAACUCAAAUCAUUUAAUCCCCACGUUGGUCAAUCUCAAAAUUUUCAAUCUCCGUUUUCCUUAUACUAAUAUUUUAACUAUAUCUUGACUUAAUUGAAAAGUAGUAGUUGGAAUUUGACGUCAGCUAAUAGUAAGACUUGCAUCUUUGGUUAUUUGCUUCUAUAUAAUGCAAUUACUAUGUUGUACUUUCACACCUGAAUUUCUGUAUUUUCUAUCAUUUUAACCUGACUUCACGACUCAAGCUUUUCUAUUGUUUGUAUUAAGUUAAUACAGAAGUUUUCGUGUAUCAACACAAAUAUUCAUGGUUUGCUUGUCAACAUUCAAGCUUUCGGCAUUUCAUUUGGGUACAUAGCAUAUGUGACUUAAAAGGAUAAAUUAGAUAUAACGGACUUUUAAGUAGAGAGGAAUGACUAUAAAGAUAUUCAUAUACUCGAACCCGAAAAACAAAAGUAAACUCGAUGCACUAAGCUUUUGAUAUGCGCGUAAUCCGGAGAAGGGUCGAACCACAACUCGAAUCCGUAACCUCCUGAUCAUAUGGCAAUAACUUUAUCAGUUAUACCAAGGCUCUCAUGCAUUCUCCUAUGGUCGAACCUAACAUAUUUAACUGAUUGAAUGAUAUAUGAUCAAAUCUAUAACUUCUUAUGCGGAACCUUAAUAAGAUUUAAGUUAUAUGCACUACAACACCGGUAGUGUGAAAGGAAAAAAUUACACUGUAUACCAGGUUAUUUACUAUUUAAUUUAGGUUAUCGAUCAAUGCUUAGAUAAUAUAAUUAACUGUAAUUACUUUUUGAUUGACCUGGUGAUUUAAAUAUUUCUUACACUCUCAAUACAUAAAAUUUAAACUCAUCUCCAUGACUUCGUAAUAACAUUUUAACACGCCCCAAUUUGAUGGAUUCCUUUACUUGCCUUAAAACUUACGGUUAAGGGUCAGAUUUGCCCUUGUACUAUUCAAAAUAAGCUACAUUUACCCUCUGUUUGCAUUCUUUAACAUAUAUCCCCCCACCGUUACACUUUCGGGCCACAUUUACCCUUCUUCCGUUAAACCUGGUUUCCUCAAGUUUUUUAAACACGUGGCAGUCAACGAUUGGAUCAGAUUAACCCACCCAUUCUAUUUUUUAAACCCGCCCGACCCACUUUUCUAACCCGCCCCGACCCCAUNNNNNNNNNNNNUUCGGGCCACAUUUACCCUUCCACCGUUAAAACUUGUUUCCUCAAUUUUUUUAAACACGUGGCAUUCUCUCAUUGGUUCAUAUUAACCCACCCAUUGAAACUAGUCAUCUGGUUCAUAUUUCUCUUUCUCUAUUCCAAAUUUCUAUAUUCAACGCCCAUUACACUACAAAGCUAGCAGCUGAAGUUUCCGCGCGCGCGCACACAUACAGAGUAGAUAUUCGGAUUUGUUGCUUCCUGAAAUUGUAGCUGCCAUGGGAAAUUGCUGCUCCAACGAGAGCGGUGGACAUUCGUCAGUUGGCGGUACCGGCGCUUACGUGGUCAAUCCAAACAACGGUCAUAACGAAGCCGUUGAUGCUCUCCUCAAGUCUCGCGGUUACGACGGCGUCUAUUCGCAUGUCGAGGUUCUUCACUCUCUCUGUGUUUUCACAUUUUCCUAUACUAUCUGUUAGCAGAUGACUAGUUUCUAUUUUUUGUUUUCUUUUUCCCACUAAUGGUGCGGAUUUAUGUAUCGUUGACUUGGCUUUGACUGUGAGAAGAAUUCGAAUCUACCGUAUUAUGCCCUUUCUGAACUGGCAGCCUGCUUAGAUCUGUCCUCAGCAUUUUACUGUCAUAUUUUUAGAGUUUAGUUGGAUGAUUGUGGUUGAUUAAGAUCCUUGAUGGGGAAUUCGUGUUAGGUGAGGAUACAGUACUGUUUCUUGUAACGAUUGAGUAAAUAAAUACCUAGGGGUCGGGGCGGGUUAUUUGGCUUCGAAUCGGUCGGGUGGCAAGACUUCAAUGGGUGGGUUAAUAUGAACCAAUGAGAGAAUGCCACGUGUUUAAAAAAAUUGAGGAAACAAGUUUUAACGGUGGAAGGGUAAAUGUGGCCCAAAAGUGUAACGGUGGGGGUAUAUUUGUUAAAGAAUGCAAACGGAGCGUAAAUGUAGCUUAUUUUGUAUAGUACAAAGACAAAUCUAACCCUUAACCAUCAAACUUAACAUAAACUGGAAUGUAACAACCACCUAAAGUGGUCAAAAAAGAAAUAUAACUACCCAAUCAUCGUAUUUUUGUGGACUAGAGUCAAGUCAAUAAUAACUGUACAAAGUCGUCUGAUUGACCUAAAAGCCAGUGGAUGGGGACCACAUUUUUGUUAUAGUUGCUUCAAGUUUUAAAAUUAGGUUGUCUUCAUUGGGCAACAAGGUAAGCGCCAAACACUCACAAUUAUUUAAUCAAACCAAAACAAAGAUAAGUUUGAAAUAUUUGAUUUAUAUAAGAUAAAUUGCACCAGUUGCUCACAACUAUGAUCCUAAUGCUUUCGUCUGUACCAAAAUAUUUUGUCCUGCUCCUCCUUCUCCCUUUGUUCUUUCUUCUUGUUUUAGACAUAACAUGAACCUUCAAAACCUAUUCAUGGUCAAGAAAUCUGUUUCUAUUCUUCUCAUUGCUAUUCUUUUCAUUACCUUAGCAGAUGACACUCUCUCUAUAUACCUCAAUUCUAGUGCUUGUAUUACACAUAGUUGUGGUAAUGGAGUUAAGAUAUCAUACCCCUUUUGGAUUCCUGGGAAACAACCACCUUAUUGUGGCUUACCAGCUUAUAAUGUUAGCUGCAAUAAGGAUAAGUCACUUCUCCAUAUUUCUGGAGAUGAAUUUAUCAUUAAGGAAGUGUUUUAUACAAACUACUCAAUUCUCCUAGCUAAAGCAGAUGUGUUUGAUGAAAACAAGAAAUGUCCAGUACCAACACAGAAUUUUAGCCUCAGGGGUGUACUCCUUUUCGCUCAGGGCCUAACACUGCAGAUCUCUUUUUUUUCUAUGACUGUACUCAACCUUAUGAAAGGGAGACAUAUGCUGUGAAUUGUGCCAGCAAUGCCACUCAUUAUUCUUUUGCUGUUUUUCAUACUGAGCUUUUGGAGCACUCUAACUAUUCAGUCGAGUCGUGUCAGGAUCCUGUUUAUGCCCUUGUUGAGACUGAUUCUCUAGAUAGAUUGUUAAAAAUGAAUUACAUGCAAGUUCUGCAAAAGGGAUUCUUUCUGCAAUGGGAUGGGACUAAUUGUAGAGAUUGCCAGAGUAGUGGAGGGCUCUGUGGUGUUCAAAAUAACGAAUUUAUAUGCAUUUGCAAAGACCAACCCCAACAACGAACUUGCCUUCAUGGUAAUCUAGAAGCUAUAAGUUUAAAUCCAUGUUUAACCAUAUUUCCAUUUAUUACAACAACAACAACACCAACAACAACCCAGUAUAAUCCCACUUAGUGGGGUUUGGGGAGG